rnacentral:rRNA from 1 species
GUGUCAGCAGCCGCGGUAAUACGUAGGUGACAAGCGUUAUCCGGAAUUACUGGGCGUAAAGCGCACGCAGGCGGCUGCGUAAGUCUGACGUGAAAUCUCUCGGCUUAACCGGGAGCGGUCGUUGGAAACUAUGCGGCUUGAGGCGAUGAGAGGGGUGUGGAAUUCCCGGUGUAGUGGUGGAAUGCGUAGAUAUCGGGAGGAACAUCAGUGGCGAAAGCGGCACCCUGGCAUUAGCCUGACGCUCAGGUGCGAAAGCGUGGGGAGCGAACGGGAUUAGAUACCCUAGUAGUCC